AGCAGUAGCCACGGUAAUACAGAGGGUGCGAGCGUUAAUCGGAUUUACUGGGCGUAAAGCGUGCGUAGUCGGCUUCUUAAGUCGGAUGUGAAAUCCCUGAGCUUAACUUAGGAAUUGCAUUCGAUACUGGGAAGCUAGAGUAUGGGAGAGGAUGGUAGAAUUCCAGGUGUAGCGGUGAAAUGCGUAGAGAUCUGGAGGAAUACCGAUGGCGAAGGCAGCCAUCUGGCCUAAUACUGACGCUGAGGUACGAAAGCAUGGGGAGCAAACAGGAUUAGAUACCCGGGUAGUCCCUGUCUCUUAUAU
rnacentral:rRNA from 1 species